CCGGAACCAAGAAGACACGAGUUUAAUGGAUCCCCAGUUUUGCUGAAUUUUAAUGCUUUGAACUUAAGAAAAGAUAGGAUCACAAGAGAAGCUAGACCUCUGCACCGACCUGUGGAACAAUAGCUCCAAAACAACAUCCAUCAGCGCUGUUGAAACAUCCCCUGCGCUGUGUUACACAAGAUGAGGCUGGUGUAUGAAUAUGCUUCUGUGAAGCCAGUAUGUUCUGUGUUGCUGGAGUGAGAUGAAAGUUCAGUCGGAACGCCUGAGGCUGUUCUCAGGGGGAACCCAACAACCACCAAGGGUCACUGCUUUGUCUGCUAAUUACGGAGCACACACUCUGCAGCUGUAUGAAACAACUCCACACAUUACCCACAAUUACCUUUGCAUCUAUCAUGUGAUGCUUCGCUGCUUCAUUGUUUAAAAGCAACAUGACAAAAAGUCCCUUCUGCAAUUGCAAUUAUAUGCUUUCCUCAUUGCUAUAACUGCUACCUUUCAUGCUGUCCUGUGGAUUAAUGAAACCCUGCAAUGAACAAGAAGACUUUCUUCAAUAUCUUUGGACUUAUACAUGCAUGACAUCCAUCUAAAAGAAGAGCAAAAAAAAAAAAAAUUCCAUCAUGACCUUUCUUGUCUUCACUCACCAUUAGAUCAACACACUGUUAAUCUCUGAUACUGACGAAAGUGAGUCAGAGGACUCAUAGGAAGUCAUCGCCACAAUCUGGACCCAGUCUGAGAACAACAGAGCAAGAGCAUUCAUUGUGUGUCUCCUUCCUACAGAGGAAACAACUGUCACAAGUUAUUCACUGCAUUUUAACCUCAUCUAUCAACACUGCGCUUAGGGCACUAAUAAAUGAGAGCAGCAUGACUAACAAUGGCCCCAGAGGCAGAUUCACAUGUGGCCCGUUUCCUACCUAAAGCCGAGUUCAAAGAGAACGCAGUGAUGGACCGAUGACUGGGAUUUUCAUCAACAUCCCCAUGAACAUUGUCAGGAAAAAUAUGAAUGGAUGGACAGAGAAUAUGGCUCCUCUUUUUGGACCUUGUAUAACAUAUAAUGUUCCUCAGUCAUUAUUCAGGAACCUUCAAACACCCUGGACAGAUUGACAGUCCAUCACAUAGCAACAUGUAGACACAUAAGAGAGACAUACACACACUAACACCUGAAGGCAAUUUAGAGAAAUCACCAAACAGUCAUGUUUUUAGACAGGAAGCCAGAGUACCAGGAAAUAAUUUACACAGGCACAAGGAGAGCAAACUCCACACAGAGACUCCAAGCCAGUAAUCAAACCCAGGACCGUCUUGCUACAAGGCUCAACAAUGUAAUAAUUUUUUAUUUUUUUUGCAACCUGGGUUUUUACUUCUCAGACGUGGAAAAAUAAUAUUUAAUGUAUCAAGGCUGAUCUUUCUCCUUCCACUAUCGAUAUGGCUUAAGAGGAUCACAAUAUAGUUUGGAUUUGGCCACAAUAUAUGUUAUAAAAUAAAUUAUACUGGAAUAGCGUCAGGAUUUUUAUUUUGGAUAUUGCAUGUGGAACAAAGGACAAUAUAUCAAAUUUAAUUGUUAUUAUUCCCAGCCCUACGUAGGUGCUUAGAUAUGUAGCUGCCUCUCCGUUGUUUUUAACUGGUUAAUGUCUGGUUUGGUUCUACCCCAGUUUGGAGCGUCUCCAUUGGGGGUUUGUUACUCACUCUGGGCAUGAAAAUGGAAACGUGGGUGAGCCACAUAGCUGUGGCCGGUGCUGUGAUGUUUGCAGCAACACUCAACAAUCGACAAUCUCAAGGUUGAGACUUUGAUGGAUACUUCAUUUUGUUUGAUAGAAUUGUCACGGAUGGUCCUGUCAUAAUUAAAACAAUUCAUAUGAUCUGAUUAGUUCAAUAUUUAGAAGCGUGGACAACAUGGACCGAAUGGUUUUGUUCACUUCCUCUGCUGCCAUUGCCAAACUACAACCCUAUGUAGGCAUACUGCAAACUUUUGUAGGAAGGCAGUGUCCAGGAUACACAGGAUGUGUUACUGGAAAUGAAUCUGGUGGACAGGGGAAGAACCGGCUAAAGCCACUCCCAUUGAGAAAUGGCUUAUGUGGUGUAAGUAAUGCUGUGUCCUGUUUGUCUUUGGAGUUCAAGUCUGGAGAUGACAUCACAUCCUAGUGGAGUUCACUGUAACUUCAAGUUGGAAAACCAGUGUCAUUUACUAACAGUUUGGAUGUGUAAAAACAUUCAUGCAUCAUUAAAUCAGCCAAGAGGGUCACAGUAUCUCAAAGAUUCACCGCUCAUAUCUUUAAAACUAUGCUCAAAUCAAAACUGGUUGCAUUUCUUUUGAAAGAUUAACAGGAGGGUUACAUUGUUAAAAAGAUUUAAGUCUUAUCUGCAGCUUACUACUAGCAAUGUGGGGGAGUGUGGGGUUUCAGGAAAAAAACAGGUUCAAAUUUAAAUGACAUGAAAUGACAUCAGACUUAUGUAGCACUUUAUUCGGACUCUCCAAGACGCUUUACAAUGAACUCAGUCAUUCCCACUCACUGUCAUUCACCAGCUGAUUGAGCAGAAUUGACAGGGAACAUUGGACUCAUAUAUUUCCAAAUGGAAACUAACUCCAAACCACUCAGACUUCAAUUGAGAGACAGAAGGUCAAAUAUUUCAGCAGGCAAAGAGAGGAGUCAUCACACAAUGUAGAGCAACAUCUAAAACAUGGAGAAUAAGGUGCUCUGGUCACAUGAGACCAAAAUGUAACUUUGUGGCCUAGAUACAAAGUUACAUUUGUAUCCUACAUUUGCAUUAAGUCUUAAGCAGGUGCUAGUGAAGUUGGUUAAAGUAACUGGGGUAAUAAUUGGACCUAAUACAGAGAAAUCCUGAGAGAAAACUUGUCAAGAGGAACUUAAAACUUUAGUUUUUGGUAGUGUUUUGCCUCCUAGCAGGACAGUAGCAAUAACUACAGCCAAAUGAUAUCGAGGUGUUGCAAAUUGUGUUGGUCAAUCACAUAAAAUAUCUAUAGAAUACAUUACAGUUUGUGUUUUUAAUGUGAGAAAGUGCAGAAAGGUUAAAAGUGAAUGAGUACCGUUGUAAGGCACUGUGCUGGAUACUGGGGUAUCUGGGCUGUCAGCAACUUUCAGCUGGCUUCACAGGGAGGUUUGUUGUAAUUCUGACAAGGAUUUGUCAGGAGCUUGGUCAUUUGAGUGCACUUAAGAAAAUCUAGAUUUAAAUCAGAUAAUAAGUGUGAAUGACUCAUGUUUUGUUUUCCCCCAACUCUCUAAUCAAAGCUUCAGCUGGAAGGUAAAUGCUUGACUCAGCCGGUCUGACACCGCAAAGACAAAUAUUUCUUUCAAGAGUUACUAUAGGGUGAAAGGUCAGAUUGAAUCUUAGGCGAUUUGGGUGGUCAAGAAAAUUUACUUCAAGCAUGCUGUAAUUUUUGAAACUUAAUUUCUCUUCAAGCUUUGAUUGUAAAUGGAAAGCUCAUUCUUUUAAAACUCUCUGAUGAAAGACCUUGAAUAUUGUAAUUCACCAAGGAGGAGUUCAGUACUCCUCCUUGGUGAAUUACCGUUUUCCUUUAAAGCUCUGCUUGUUAUUAGUGGAUUGUUCAUUUUUGAAUCCAAGAUACAGAUCCCUCAACUUUUCUUCCAUUCUGAAAUUGCGAUAACUUUCAAAAAAAUAAUAUCAAACACAAUAUAUAACGUAACUGAGGUAUAUAACACGAACUAUAACAAAAAGCUUUCCUUUUUUUCUGGCCCCAGAAUGUGUCACACAGUGUAAGAAUCAGCCUUCAGCUCAGAGUGUAAAUCCAACCUGACAGGACUGCUGAGACGGCUCUGCGUCCACGUCAAUGCUCAGAGAACCGCCCGCCUCGACGUCCACACGGCAACAAAGCUCACACAGCGGGGCCUCAACCAAUCAGGACUCUCUAAAAGGUGACAGGCCCGGGCCAGGUCUUCUUUUGCUCUCUGUCGCUAUGGCUGCUGUGGCUUUUUUGUUUUCCUGAGAGAAACACUGACAGAGCAGAAGAGAGCGAGAGAGAUGUGCUGGCAUACGUACUCAACGUAAAUGCCUUUUAUGCUCAUGUAUGUUGAAGACCGAGACAGAGUCGUCAUUGUGUCUUUUCCUUGCAACUGUGAAAGAUACAUUAGAGGGUGAAGUGUGGAUAACUGUGUGAUUUUCAGUGGGUGGCACAUUUGUUUUGAGUUUUCACCCUUUUUUUUAAAAUUUGUGGUUACAUGGGAAAUAUGAGUAUAUUUGCAGACAACAUUUGUCUAGACAUUUGUACUGCAAGUAAAUUAUAAUAGGCAAUGUUUUAAAAUUAUGUCCAAUAAAGCACAACCUAUGUUUGUCCAUCUUGCAAAGA